rnacentral:misc_RNA from 1 species
GUGAAUCAUCGAAUCUUUGAACGCACAUUGCGCCCGCCAGUAUUCUGGCGGGCAUGCCUGUUCGAGCGUCAUUUCAACCAUCAAGCCCCGGGCUUGUGUUGGGGACCUGCGGCUGCCGCAGGCCCUGAAAACCAGUGGCGGGCUCGCUAGUCACUCCGAGCGUAGUAGUUACAUCUCGCUCAGGGCGUGCUGCGGGUUCCGGCCGUUAAAAGCCUUAUUUACCCAAGGUUGACCUCGGAUCAGGUAGGAAGACCCGCUGAACUUAAGCAUAUCAAUAAGCGGAGGA